GAAGUGGUUGCAGGCCCCUUUUUGUGACUUGCACAGGAACCCCAAGUCUGUCAGAAGUCAGAGCUGCAAAGCAGGGUGAGAUGGCAGCCUGGGACAUGCUCUGGAGGAGGAGAGGAUCAGUCUCUGAACUCAACAGGUCCCUUUUGGCAGCCGGGAGAGGUGUUGGAGUUGGGGAUUUGCUGCAGACCGUUGAUGUUCUGUGAUACAGGGAAACAGCCAAGGCAUCACACGGUGGAGGUGAUGGGUGACAUGAAGGGUGACCUGCAGUCACUGGCCAGUGGGUCCUGGCAAUGCACGGAGCAGGGGUUGGUCGGUCCAGCUGUCCCCAUGUCCCCAUUCUGGAGGACUCCUGAGUGACCCUGCUCGAGAGGAGGGGGGGACCCUGGAACAGCAAGAAGAGGCAUCAGCCCUGGUGCUGCUGAGGAGGGCUGAGAGGACACCAAAAAGCCACCUUCUCCCCCCAAACCAGGAGCUGGCCACUGCCCUGCACACACGGCCACUCUGCAACAGGCUCCCUGAAGCAGGUGUUACCAUUAGUUUACUGCCCCUCUGCUGCCCUGCCUGCUCCCAGUGCUGACACCUCCCGGGAUGGAGCUCUUCCUGCUGAAAUGCCUGCUUUGGGCCUCUCUUCCUUCUGGGGAAAGCCCAUUUUGUGCUCUCGGGCUUCUUCCAGGCACCUCGGCUGCACCCAUCUGAGCGGGGAUGUGUCUCCUGAACAACACCCAAUGUUGUGUUUGAGGGUGGGAUCCCACUGUGGGGCUCUGACCCAGGGAACUCCAGGGCCUCUCCCAGGUCUCCUCCUGGAGCUGCACCCUACAGCUUGGCCCUCGGGGACAGGAAUUUCUCAGCCUGCUGCUGGAUGCACCAUGUUUCAAAAUACCAGACGCUCUCUUGUUUCCCUCCCACCGUGGACUUUCCAUCACCCCAGCCUUGGCCUGCCUGGAUACUCUCCCCAGAUCCUCCUGUUUCUAUGGAAAGCCCUUCAGGUCAGCUCGUCCCUGUUCCCCUUUAUUUGCAAGCAUGUCCUGGGAAGAGGUGAUUCACUGGCUUUGCACCAAGACAUUCAGCAACUGCACAGGCUGUCCUUGAAGACACCCAGAGUCCACAGGCUUGGAUGGCUGGAGUUGGGAGCAUGUCCUUCUGGGGAUCCAGAGGGACAGGAGAACAGGAAAGAAGCCCCAUCAUACACCCUCCAGGACAGGCAAGGGGGGAGAUUUCUUGCAGCCCCUUCCUUCUGCUGCUUUGAAGGAUGCUGGUGCCAGGUGGGGAUUAGAAAAAGAAAAAAGGCUGCUUCUCCCCACGGUCACUGGAUUUACUGGAAAGUGAGCUUUUCAAGCACAAAGCUUCUUGCUCCACUCCAGGAAAAGUCUAAUUUGGGGCACCAUAAAGAUUUUUCACUUGAAACUUUGCUGAUGUUCUCACGCUGCCAUUCCUUAGUAGAGAUGGGCUGAUGUCUUACUAUUUAUGUUUGCUUUUUGUUUGGAAACAGUAGGAGAAAAAGUGCCCACUGUGAAGAUUUGGUUCACACAGGUCGGUGUAUUAUUUCAGCUGCAAAAGUGGCCUGGUGAAUCCACAGCAGGUUUCCCAGCUGAGCACCAGCCCUGGUGUGUGUGCCACUGGAGUGGGGAAGGGCCUUUGGCACAGCACCCCGUCAAGCUGCUGGCUCUGCUUUGCUUCACUUCUGGUUUCUCCAGGAGCGGCCACCCGGGCUGCUGGCAUCCUGGGCAACCUUAAAAAUUGAUAAAUCAGGAGUUUUCAGGCUGGGAUGACCCUGUGCUGAGAGCUGGAGCAAACUGCUGUGCUCAGGAUGAGGCUGUUUCUGAGAUCCUGCUGCUGUGAAUGCCAUGACGAGACCCAGGGAUGGUGUGAUCCUCAGCUCCAGGGAUGGGUGUGACCAGAAAGUCAGGCUGUAGGAGGCUGCAGCUGCAGCAGGAGUGAAGCACGUGGGAAAUGACUCACCUCCCAUGGGCUGGACAUGGAUUUUUGACCCAGCAAAGCACAGGAAAACUGACAGAAAGGUGGAACAUUGUGUUGUUUGGGGAGCAAAAUGUCACAGCAGACAACUGCUCUGUGUUCAGUCAGUUUGUUAAUAGGCUCAUGGGCUAUGAAGUAA